UACGGAGGGUGCAAGCGUUAUCCGGAAUCAUUGGGUUUAAAGGGUCCGCAGGCGGUCAAUUAAGUCAGAGGUGAAAUCCCAUAGCUUAACUAUGGAACUGCCUUUGAUACUGGUUGACUUGAGUUAUACGGAAGUAGAUAGAAUGUGAAGUGUAGCGGUGAAAUGCAUAGAUAUUACACAGAAUACCGAUUGCGAAGGCAGUCUACUACGUAUGUACUGACGCUGAGGGACGAAAGCGUGGGUAGCGAAAGGG
rnacentral:rRNA from 1 species